rnacentral:rRNA from 1 species
UGGGGAAUUGUUCGCAAUGGGCGCAAGCCUGACGACGCAACGCCGCGUGGAGGAUGAAGGUCUUCGGAUUGUAAACUCCUGUCGAACGGGACGAACAUCCACCUGGUUAAUACCUUGGUGGACUGACGGUACCGUGAGAGGAAGCCCCGGCUAACUCUGUGCCAGCAGCCGCGGUAAUACAGAGGGGGCAAGCGUUGUUCGGAAUUACUGGGCGUAAAGGGCGCGUAGGCGGCCUUCUAAGUCAGACGUGAAAUCCCUCGGCUCAACCGGGGAACUGCGUCUGAGACUGGAAGGCUUGAAUCCGGGAGAGGGAUGUGGAAUUCCAGGUGUAGCGGUGAAAUGCGUAGAUAUCUGGAGGAACACCGGUGGCGAAGGCGGCAUCCUGGACCGGUAUUGACGCUGAGGCGCGAAAGCCAGGGGAGCAAACGG